GAUUAUAUCUUCUCUCCCCUGUCCAGCUGAGGAGGGGAGUAAUAGAGUGGCUUUGGUGGGCACCUGACAUACAGCCAGGGUCAACACACCACAAAAACAGACCUCCAGAAAG